rnacentral:rRNA from 1 species
UACAGAGGGUGCGAGCGUUGUCCGGAAUCACUGGGCGUAAAGGGCGCGUAGGUGGCCUGGUAAGUAGGGGGUGAAAUCUCGCGGCUCAACUGCGAGGCUGCCUCCUAAACUGUCAGGCUCGAGCAGAGUAGAGGCAGGUGGAAUUCCCGGUGUAGCGGUGGAAUGCGUAGAGAUCCGGAAGAACACCGGUGGCGAAGGCGGCCUGCUGGGCAGUGGCUGACGCUGAGGCGCGACAGCGUGGUGAGCAAACAGG